GCGACCCUAGGUCAGACGGGAUUACCCGCUGAGUUUAAGAAUAUCAAUUAGAGAAGAAAAAGAAACUUACAAGGAUUUAUUUAGUAACGGCGAGCGAUUUGGGAAUAGCCUAGCCUUAGAAUCGGGCGGCUCCAUCGUCCAAAUUGUAUUCUAGGGAAGCGUCCCCAACAGUAGACCGGGCCUAAGUCCCAUGGAAGGAGGCGCUAGAGCGGGUGAGAGUCCCGUUGUUCCCGGACCCUGUCGCACCAUGGGGCGCUGUCUACGAGUUGGGUUGUUUGGGAAUGCAGCCCAAAUUGGGCGGUGAAUUUUGUCCAAGGCUAAAUACAGGCGAGAGACCGAUAGCGAACAAGUAGCGCGAGGGAAAGAUGAAAAGGACUUUGAAAAGAGAGUCAAAGGGUGCUUGAAAUUGUCAAGAGGAAAGCGGAUGGGGGUCGGCGAUGCCCCCCGGUCAGAUGUAGAAUGGUGAUGAGUCGGUCCGCCAAUCGACUCGGGGCAUGGACUAGUGUGGAUUGGGGGCGGCCAAAGUCUGGGCUCUCGAUACGCCCGUGGAAUGUUGUCUCCUAGAUUGUUGCAGGUAGCGUGCGCCUCUGGCGUGCUUCGGCAUCUAUGCUCUCUGGACGCUGGCUUGUGGGCUCCCCAUUCGACCCAUCUUGAAACACGAACCAAGAAGUCUGACAUGUGUGCGAGUCAACAGGUGAGUAAACCUGUAAGGUGUAAGGAAGCUGAUUGGUUGGAUCCCCCUGGGGGUGCACCGCCGAUCGACCUAGAUCUUCUGAGAAGGGUUCGAGUGUGAGCAUACAUGUCGGGUCCCGAAAGAUGGUGAACUAUGCCUUAGAGGGACGAAGCCAAAGGAAACUCUGGUGGAGGCCCACCGCGAUACUGACGUGCAAAUCUUUCUUCUGACUUGGGUAUAGGGGCGAAAGACUAAUCGAACCAUCUAGUAGCUGGUUCCUUCUGAAGUUUCCCUCAGGAUAGCUGGAGCUCGCAUGCGAGUUCUAUCGGGUAAAGCCAAUGAUUAGAGGUUCGGGGGUGUAACGCCCUCGACCUAUUCUCAAACUUUAAAUAGGUAGGAUGGCGCGACUGCUUUGUUGAGCCACGCCACGAAAUCAAGAGCUCCAAGUGUGCCAUUUUUGGUAAGCAGAAUUGGCGAUGUGGGAUGAACCAGAAGCUGGGUUAUGGUGCCAAACUGCUCACUAACCUAGAUCCCACAAAGGGUAUUGGUCGAUUAAGACAGCAGGACGGUGGUCAUGGAAGUCAAAAUCCGCUAAGGAGUGUGUAAUAACUCACCUGCCGAAUCAACUAGCCUCGAAAAUGGAUGGCGCUUAAGCGCGCGAUCUACACCCGGCCGUGGGGCAAAUUCCAGGCCUUGAUGAGUAGGAGGGUGCGACAGUCGCUGCAAAACCUUGGGCAUGAGCCUGGGCGGAGCGUCCAUCGGUGGUAAUAGCAAAUAUUCAAAUGAGAACUUUGAAGGCUGAAGAGAGGAAAUGUUCCAUGUGAACGACACUUGCACAUGGGUUAGUUGAUCCUAAGGGUCGAGGAAACCAUGACAGAUAGCGCAUUUUGCGCGUUCUUCAAAAGGGAAUCGGGUUAAAUCUCCUAAACCAGGACGUGGCAGUUGACGACAAUGUUAGGAAGUUUAGACACAUUAGCGGGAACCUCGGGAAGAUUUAUCUUUUCUUUUUAACAACCUGCCCGCACAGGAAUCGACUCAGCCGGAGGUAGGGUCCAACGGUUGCAAGAGCACCGCACAUCGCAUGGUUUCCGUUGCACUCUCGGGUUCUUGAAAAUCCGAAGGACCUAAUGUCGUCCACGCCUGGUUGUACUCAUAACCACAUCAGGUCUCCAAGGUGAACAACCUAUGGUCGAUAGAACAAUGUAGGCAAAAGAAGUUAGCAAAAUGGAUCCGUAACUUCGGGAAAUGGAUUGGCUUUGAGGGCUGGGGACGGGGGUCCCAGUCCCAAACCCAUCGGCAGUCGAUGGACUGCUCGAGCUGAUCUCGUGAUGAAAACGGGUCACCGCGUGUCAACUAGGGGACGGUCUUGGAAUGGUUCCUUCGGGGUUCUUUCCCGAGCAUCGAACAACCAACUCAGAACUGGUACAACCAAGGGGAAUUCGACUGUUUAAUUAAAACAAAGAAUUUCGAUGAUCCAAACAGAUGUUUACGCAAUGUGAUUUCUUCCCAGUGCUCUGAAUGUCAAAGUGAAGAAAUUCAACCAACCGCGGGUAAACGGCGGGAGUAACUAUGACUCCUUUAAAGUAGCCAAAUUCCUUGUCAUCUAAUUAGUGACGCGCAUGAAUGGAUUAACGAGAUCCCCAAUGUCCCUGUCUACUAUCCAGCGAAACCACAACCAAGGGCGUUGGCUUGGAAAAAUCAGCGGGGAAACAAGCCCCUGUUGAGAUUGACUCUAGUCCGACUUUGUGAAAUGACUUGAAGGUGUAGUAUAAGUGGGAGCCAAAAGGCGAAAGUGAAAUAUCACUACUUUUAAUGUUAUUUUACUUAUUCCGUGGAUCGGAAGCGGGGCACUACCCCUCUUUUUGGACCCAAGGAUCGCUUCACAGGCCGAUCCAGGAUGAAGACAUUUUUAGGUGGGGAGUUUGGAUGGAGCGGCACAUAAGUUAAAAGAUAACACAGGUGUCCUAAGAUGAGCUCAACAAGAACAGAAAAUCUUGUGUGGAACAGAAGGGUAAAAGCUCAUUUGAUUCUGAUUUCCAGUACUAACACGAAUUAUGAAAGUAUGGCCUAACGAUCCUUUAGACCUUUGGAAUUCGAAGCUAGAGGUGUCACAAAAUUUACCAAAGGGAUAACUGGCUUGUGUAAGCCAAGCGUUUAUAGCGAUGUUUCUUUUUUAUCCUUCGAUGUCGACUCUUCCUAUCAUUGUGAAGCAGAAUUCACCAAGUGUUGGAUUGUUCACCUACCAAUAGGGAACGUGAGCUGGGUUUAGACCGUCCUAAGACAAGUUAGUUUUACCCUACUGAUGACAGUGUUGCAAUAGCAAUUCAACCAAGUACUAGAGGAACCAUUGGUUCACACAAUUGGCCAUCGCGCUUGGUUGAAAAACCAGUGGCGCGAAAUAUUACUUAUUAGUGAUGCAAAUCUCCUGCUUAUUUUUAUUGUUGUGGGAAUGAAAUUUUUCAAAAUAGUUUGAUCAAAUUACACGGUUUCUCUUGGAGAUUUGGCAGUUCAUUUUUCUAAUCUCUUAAACCCAUGGACAGAGCUUAUGUAUGGAUAAAUAAGAGUUUCAUCAGUUUCUGUGCGGAAGAACGUUGUAUUGGCACUUUCUCAGAUUAUAUUAAAUGACAUGAUGAUCGAUUU
rnacentral:rRNA from 1 species